UCUGCCACAACAGAACGAACAGACCAGAUGAAAUUGAUGACUCUUUCUGUGCCUCUUUAUAUGCUUACAUCUAAAUCAAUCCUGUUGUAUAGAAACUGAAGAUUUAUGCAUUCAUAUAGAAAGCAGAAUCUCCAAGAAGGACCAUGGCGUCUGCUGGGGACCUAAGCCCAUCCACCCUACCUCUCGGAGAGAGGUUCAGCCUUGUAUCCAACCCGCAAACAUAAAGCAGGGAAAGAAAAUUACCAAAUUAGCAGAUUGCUGUCUCAAGAAUAUAAAACAACAUUGUAUAUGGGAAGGAUUUUUUGAGGUCGGAAAAUCGUCACUUCCUAAGAAACG